CAGAAUUUUAUACUGGACUUCUCCAAGGGUUGAUACCAAUCAAUUAGGGUUGACAUCCAUCUACAAUAUCACAAUAUCACUCUCCAAGGGAUGACAUCAAUGAGAACCAACAAUCCAAACCAAUUGUCUGACAUUUUGUUUUCAUUUUUAUGUUUCUUUUAUUGUAUUUAAUACAAUUAUUAUAUAAUUAAUAUUAACCUUAUAAGUAUAAUCGAAUCAAAACUGGAAUGGACAAGGGAAAUCUGAUUGUUUAAUAAAAACAAAGAAUUACGAUGGUCCCUACAGAUGUUGAUGCAAUGUGAUUUAUUCUGAGUGCUCUACAUCUCAAAGUGAACAAAUUCAACCAAGCGUGGGUAAACGACAUGAGUAAAUAUGACUCUCUUAAGGUAUCCAAAUGCCUCAUCAUCUAAUUAGUGGCAUGCAUGAAUGGAUUAACACAAUUCCCACCAUCCAUAUAUAAUAUCUAGAGAAACCAUAACCAAGGGAACGAGAUUGGAAAAAUAAGUGUGGAAAAAAGACCCUAUCGAGCUUGACUCUAGUCCGACUUUUUGAAAUGACUCGAGAAGUGUAGAAUAAGUGGGAUUUUUUUCAGUGCAAGUGAAAUACAACCACUUUUAACAUUAUUUUACUUGUUUUGUGGUACAGAGACAGGUUAUUGCCCCUGUUUUUGGCCAUAAUAUAUGUUUCGAUGGGUCGAUCUGGCCGAAAGACAUUGUGAGGUGGGGAGUUUGGUUGGGGUGACACAUCUGUUAAAAGAUAAUGCAUGUGUCCUAAUAUGAUCUCAACGAGAACACAAAUCUCUUGCGGAAAAAAAGGGUAAAAUAUCAUUUGAUUUUCCACCAACCUCUUGAUCCUUAUAAUUCAUUGAUGGAUAUGAAUUAAUACAUCAAUUAUAUGUUUUCAUGCAUACACAAAGCUAAUCUAAAAUACUAAUUUCUUGAGUAAGAUUAAGUGGCCAAUUGUGUAUUUGGAGGAACGGUUCAUGCAACCCCAGGAGAGGAUAGGCUAAUAUGACUAGAGAUGUCUGGAGGGAGUAUAAAUACCUAAUUAAUGUUACUCACACUCACCAAUGACUAACAACCAACUUUUGACAUACAAGGAAGUUAUUGUCCUUACUUUGAACCUUUCAUUUAUGGGGAUGAUGCAUAAUAUUCCAUUUCUAUUAAAUCAUGUCCAUAGAAAGAUCAAGUGUCAUUAAUAUAUCAAUGUUUAGGACUAUUUGAUUUAUAUAAAUUUAAAUAGUAAAUAAGGGUAAAUUUCAUACAAUUUAUUUUUUUUUAAAUUUAUUGUUAUUAGAAUAUAUCUAGACAAUCUUGAUUGAAAUUGUAAUUUUAGGUUGGAGUCAUUUCUUCAAUGUGGUUGUAUCCUUAGAAAUUUU
rnacentral:ncRNA from 1 species